UACGGGGGGGCGAGCGUUGUUCGGAAUUACUGGGCGUAAAGGGCGCGUAGGCGGUCUGCUAAGUUGGGUGUGAAAACUCUGGGCUUAACCCAGAGCCUGCAUUCAAAACUGACAGGCUAGAGUUCUGGAGGGGGUAGCGGAAUUCCUGGUGUAGCGGUGAAAUGCGUAGAUAUCAGGAGGAACACCGGUGGCGAAGGCGGCUACCUGGACAGAAACUGACGCUGAGGCGCGAAAGCUAGGGGAGCAAACAGG
rnacentral:rRNA from 1 species